AAUCAACGCUGGCGGCGUGCCUAACACAUGCAAGUCGAACGCGAAAGGGGACUUCGGUUCCUGAGUAGAGUGGCGUACGGGUGAGUAACGCGUGGGUCAUCUGCCCUCGGGUGGGGAAUAACUAAUCGAAAGGUUAGCUAAUACCGCAUAACACAGUGAUGUCAAAGCAGCAAUGUGCCUGAGGAGGAGCCUGCGUCUGAUUAGGUAGUUGGUGGGGUAACGGCCUACCAAGCCUGCGAUCAGUAGCUGGUCUGAGAGGACGGCCAGCCACAAUGGCACUGAAACACGGGCCAUACUCCUACGGGAGGCAGCAGUGGGGAAUUUUGGACAAUGGGCGCAAGCCUGAUCCAGCCAUGCCGCGUGCGGGAAGAAGGCC
rnacentral:rRNA from 1 species